CAUAUACUCCAUCCGUUCGAAAAGACUUGUCUCAAGCUUGUCUUUCAAAUGGAUGUAUCUAGCACUAACUUAUGCUAAAUACAUUCAUUUGAGGGACAAGUUUUUCCGGGCGGAGGGUGUAUGUA
rnacentral:pre_miRNA from 1 species